rnacentral:rRNA from 1 species
UACGGGGGGAGCAAGCGUUGUUCGGAUUUACUGGGCGUAAAGCGCGUGUAGGCGGCCAGAUAGGUCUGCUGUGAAAACUCGAGGCUCAACCUCGAGCUGUCGGCGGAAACCAUCCGGCUAGAGUCCGGAAGAGGAGAGUGGAAUUCCCGGUGUAGCGGUGAAAUGCGCAGAUAUCGGGAAGAACACCUGUGGCGAAGGCGGGUCUCUGGGCAGUAACUGACGCUGAGGAGCGAAAGCGUGGGGAGCGAACAGG